AAUGAACGCUGGCGGCAUGCCUAACACAUGCAAGUCGAACGAAGGCUUCGGCCUUAGUGGCGCACGGGUGCGUAACGCGUGGGAAUCUGCCCUCAGGUUCGGAAUAACAGCGAGAAAUUGCUGCUAAUACCGGAUGAUAUCGCGAGAUCAAAGAUUUAUCGCCUGAGGAUGAGCCCGCGUAGGAUUAGCUAGUUGGUGUGGUAAAGGCGCACCAAGGCGACGAUCCUUAGCUGGCCUGAGAGGAUGAUCAGCCACACUGGGACUGAGACACGGCCCAGACUCCUACGGGAGGCAGCAGUGGGGAAUAUUGGACAAUGGGCGAAAGCCUGAUCCAGCAAUGCCGCGUGAGUGAUAAAGGCCUUAGGGUUGUAAAGCUCUUUUACCCGGGAUGAUAAUGACAGUACCGGGAGAAUAAGCUCCGGCUAACUCCGUGCCAGCAGCCGCGGUAAUACGGAGGGAGCUAGCGUUAUUCGGAAUUACUGGGCGUAAAGCGCACGUAGGCGGCUUUGUAAGUUAGAGGUGAAAGCCUGGAGCUCAACUCCAGAAUUGCCUUUAAGACUGCAUCGCUUGAAUCCAGGAGAGGUGAGUGGAAUUCCGAGUGUAGAGGUGAAAUUCGUAGAUAUUCGGAAGAACACCAGUGGCGAAGGCGGCUCACUGGACUGGUAUUGACGCUGAGGUGCGAAAGCGUGGGGAGCAAACAGG
rnacentral:rRNA from 1 species